AUUGAACGCUGGCGGCAUGCUUUACACAUGCAAGUCGAACGGUAACAGGCCGCAAGGUGCUGACGAGUGGCGAACGGGUGAGUAAUGCAUCGGAACGUGCCCAGUCGUGGGGGAUAACGCAGCGAAAGCUGCGCUAAUACCGCAUACGAUCUAUGGAUGAAAGCGGGGGACCGAAAGGCCUCGCGCGAUUGGAGCGGCCGAUGUCAGAUUAGGUAGUUGGUGGGGUAAAGGCCCACCAAGCCAACGAUCUGUAGCUGGUCUGAGAGGACGACCAGCCACACUGUGACUGGGACACGGCCCAGACUCCUACGGGAGGCAGCAGUGGGGAAUUUUGGACAAUGGGCGCAAGCCUGAUCCAGCAAUGCCGCGGGCAGGAAGAAGGCCUUCGGGUUGUAAACUGCUUUUGUACGGAACGAAACGGUCCGGGUUAAUACCCUGGGCUAAUGACGGUACCGUAAGAAUAAGCACCGGCUAACUACGUGCCAGCCGCCGCGGUAAGAC
rnacentral:rRNA from 1 species